CCUGGUGAUAAUGGUGGAGGUGCCAUACCCGUUCCCAUUCCGAACACGGAAGUCAAGCCCCCCAACGUCGAUGGUACUGCGCCCCGGAGGCGCGGGAGAGUAGAAAGUCGCCGGGC
rnacentral:rRNA from 1 species